GCCGCGCGGGGCUGCCGCCCCUCAGCCUCCUCUGCCCCCUUUCGCCUUCCCGUCCUCCGCCCCGCUGCUCCUCGAGCGGCAGCAGUCCCUCCCGCUGCUUCUCUUCCUUAUCGGCUCCAGCCGCUGCUGGAGCGAACGAGAGGGAAGGCGGCAAUGCGAAAGAAAGCUUGAGGGAGGGCUGAGAGGGGGCAGAGAGACGGCGGAAAAUGGAGCGUAGCCCAGAGGAGGGGCUGGACACUCAGAUGACCUAGCAGGAGCUGAGAAAAAUUGAGAGAAGAUGGGAGGUAGCCGUCUGCACUCCUGAUUUUUCCUGCAUCUGCUAUGGACUGAACUCACAACUGGAGCAUCAAGCUAUUGCAAAUUAGAGUCUGAGUGGUAACUGCAACUUGAGAAGAAUGGAACAUAAUUCAUCUAAAUUGUGAUGUCUCCAGAGUGUGGUAUUUCUCUUCUGUCCUGAUCCUACUUCUCACAGAAGGAAUUUAUGCUUCAAUUGAAUCUUGCCUGUUUUGCAAACCUGUGUGGACACCUCUGGAGGUGUGAUCCGGAGGAUUUGCCCACAGAGCAAACAGAGGUGAGGUGGGGCAUAAGGCGCCAGUCCUGAAAGGGACUAUAGCAAGAUACCAAACUGAAAUCUUCCAUGUUCUGAUGGGUGGCAAGGUAAGACAGAGCACUUCUAGAGAAUGGUACAAUUGAAAUGUAAAUGAAGAAAGUGUUUACUGGUAGAAAGAAUCUCCAACAGAGAAAUUAUCCCCUAUCCUGAAAAUGAAACCUGUUUUCUGUAAUCCACAAUUUGUACUGGGACAAAGAAUCCAUUCCAAAAAUACCCAUCAAUAUUUUGGACCAAUGCCAUCAUGAAGUCCUAAUCUGAUUAUUCAUUUUAUUUAGGAAUAUGGCUGUACCAUCCAUAUUCAUACUGAAUAUUUGUACUAAGUUCCUAUGCUAAGUGUUACUUAUAACAGUUGGCCUGGUUUAUAGCAUGACUUACAAAGGGAUAAGCUCCUACUUUCUGUUAGAAAUUCUUCUUUUCCCAUUUUUCUUUUAAAUUUUUUCCACUUUAUAGGCAUUUUUGUUUGAGUUUUAUGCUAGUUAGUUUAUCACAUUAUGAUAUUUGGGGGAACUUCGUUGUCAAUAAUCUGAUUAGGAGAGAAUAUCUGAGCAUUUAUUAUAAAAAGGGGUCUAAAGGUUUCUUAGGCAAACUGUAAUUUCCUGAUGGAAUUUCAAGUUUGACAUUAUGUUGGCAAAGUAUCAAGGAUGCUGCUUCUGAAGGGGUUCACCUAAACAUUGCUCUGAACCCCAGGGGGCUGAGACAAGAUGUGGAAAACUAGGGACCAACUGUAAACAUUUGGUUUAAAGUCAGUUGCACAGGAUCACACAGAAUCUUAUAGGUAAGGGUAGAAUCUAAGUCUCCAGGAUGAAGUUUAACUACUUUAACCCUAGUUCUGUCUUUUCUGUCUUUUUCAUUCCACACCUUAAAACUUUAGCAGUAAAUUUAGCAGGAAUAUUAGGAAAGAAGUUCUAUUCAUUAUACAGGCAGUCUGUUUGGAGAAUGUCAUAGUUUCUCAGUACUUGAUACCAACACAUGUUGCAGGAAGAAUCAUACGAUUUCAGAUGCUGUGUACUCAUCACAUCGAAGGGUAGAAAUAAUAUUGUGCACACACUUGUAAUGAUAACAUUUCUUAACUUCUGAACAUAUAACUUUCUAACCCCUGCUAGCCAGCUGUCAAAAUUCAGUAUUAAACUCAUGAAACUAUGUCAAAUAGUAAUACUGAUACUGUAGUGUUCUGAGUCAAAAAGUAUUUUUGUCAUGGAAGAAGUGAAACAAAAAUAGCUAAUUAUGUUUCCUUUGCCUCUUGCACUAAAAUAUUGAAGGUGAUUCAAAGCCUUUCCAUGACUUCCAGUCAUGAUGGUAGUUUUGGGGAAUGAAAAAAGGUUGUAUGCAACAUAUACAUCUUUUUUUCUUUUUGUACUAUAUCCUCUAUACCAAAUAUUUUCUAACACUCUUUUGGAGGUUGCUACCACAGUUUGAUUUAUCCUAAACUUUCCCCAAAGCAUUAGCAGAUGUUCUUUAAGACAAACAUGCUUCCAGGACUGUGUGAGCUCAGCUGAAAGAAUAUAUAUUAAAAGCAAUAGCUGUAGAUGUUACUUUGUAGUUCUACAACAGUUUUUGUAAGGGACACUAGAAGAUUUUAACCAUAAGCUAAGCAACAAAACUAUUCAAGUAUUCUACUUUAGAGACGAAAGGAAUAUGGUGUAGUAAAUUUCAACAACUCGCUUAUAGUAGUAAAGAAAGUUAAAUAAAUGUUUUGGGUAUAUUUGGUGUUCUAUUAUCAUCCUUGCUCCAAUAAGAAUACAUAUGUUUACAUUUAAGAGCUCUCUUUCUCUGUUGUCACUUCCAAUCUUUGUCCAUCAAAAUUGUUUUCUGUAACUUAGUAAUUGCUAGUCAGAGACCACACGUAGUGUUCUAUAUGCAUUCUGGAAUAUGUUUCAGCUUAUCUCAUAUAACACUUGAGAGUAUUUUUCCCAAGUGAAUCUCAAUGUUUUUGAGUUCUCUUAGUGUUUUACCAUUUGUUUUCCUUAUAUUACACCAGUCAAAAAUUAUUGCCUUGGAGAGGUACUAGUAAGCACUAUGGGAAAGUUUCUCUUUUUUUCUUACCCAGUUGAACUGCUUUUGUCUUGAAUUCUAGUUGUUGAUGGGAUUUUACUUAUUUCAUCCUGGUACCUUAAAACAAGUAUUUGUGCUUAGCUUGAUAUCAUAAAUUAGUUUUAACAAAUAAAAUGCCCCAGUCAGAGCUGAUAGUGAUUGGUGGCUCAGUAUCUUGAAAACAACAAAAAUGUCAAAUAUGAUAUGGCGAGGCAAAUCACAAAAUCUUUCCUGUCUAAUCUUGAAAGAUUACUGCUGUGGUUUCUCUACUUUUAGAAAAAAUUAUUUUUCUGCUGUUCACACUUUGCUUAAAUGAUGGCUUAAUACAGAUGUGGCAACCCAAGCUGCAUAUAGUACAGAGCAUUAAAGCAGGCUUUAUAUAAUGUGACAUAAAGCUUCCUCAUCCAUCAUAACUUCUCUAUUCCAUUUUAUUUUUAUUUUUUAAUAAUUGCUUCAGAUAUGCAAUACUAUUUGAUCUUCAUGUCACAAGAAAGAAAAGAAGGCAGAACUGACAGCUUGAUCCUUGCCUUCUUACAGAAGACCAACUUUUAGAUUUUGACCUCUUCUAGCAGUGGAUUCAACUACUCUAAUUGCAGAUACUUAAUAGGUCUUGUUUGAAUUUGAGCUUGAUUGUAACCCUCACAUCCCAAGAUCAAGUUAGAAUACCAGGUAGUCUCAUUGUUUUUAUUAUAAAUACUUUGUUGGGGACAUGUAAUAGACAUAAUAACAUUGUAUUUGUUCAUGUUGGUGAGGUGCAAUUACAAAAAGAAGGUGUAGGCUUUGCUAUUGGCAUUACUUUAAAUCUUAGGAACCUGGAGAAAAUAGGAAAUUAAAAUUCUGUGCCCAGUAACUGGUUUCCUUUUUAAAGUGUUUUUCAUCCAUGCACCUCUACCACUGGAUCAUAAGCCAAAUACUGUUUGCAAUUGACAUUGAUAUCCAGAUAGAACUCUGAAUUUCCUUUGUUUAUUGGCUACCCCACUUU